UGUAAUAAAAAUGCUCAAUAUAUCAAAUAUGACUUAAAAGAAAUUUUACUUCCUAAUUUGACGCCUUGAAAUUGGGCCUCUGUCUCUUUAAAAACUCCUGCUCUGUCUGGAACUCCGCCUUCUGGAAAUCGUCACAACACUCGUCCUCUGAUAACCCUUU